UUGGGGUGCCUGUGCGACGGAUCCCGGUGAACCCCGCCAGGCCCGAAAGGGAGCAACGGUAGCCGGGCUCUCCGGGCAGGUUCCCCCAAUAGC
rnacentral:SRP_RNA from 1 species